AGGAUUAUAGUUAAUUAUAACAUUUAAUUUGCAUUUAAAAAGUAUUAGAAUUUUCUAAUUUAUCUUA
rnacentral:tRNA from 1 species